UACGAAGGGGGCUAGCGUUGCUCGGAAUCACUGGGCGUAAAGCGCACGUAGGCGGAUCGCUAAGUCAGGGGUGAAAUCCUGGAGCUCAACUCCAGAACUGCCUUUGAUACUGGCAAUCUCGAGUCCGGGAAGAGGUGAGUGGAACUGCGAAGUGUAGAGGUUGAAAAUUCGUAGAUAUUGCAAGAACACCAGUGGCGAAGGGCGGCUCACUGGCCCGGUACUGACGCUGAGGUGCGAAAGCGUGGGGGAGCAAACAGG
rnacentral:rRNA from 1 species